rnacentral:tRNA from 1 species
ACCGAAAUAGCUCAGUUAGCAAAGCGUUAGUCAAAAAGUCCAUGGUUCGAUCCCAGGUUUCAGCA